GGGGAUGUGGCUCAGUGGUAGAGCGCUUGCCUAGGAAGCGCAAGGCCCUGGGUUCGGUCCCCAGCUCCG
rnacentral:tRNA from 1 species